UGGGGAAUAUUGGACAAUGGGGGCAACCCUGAUCCAGCAAUGCCGCGUGUGUGAAGAAGGUCUUCGGAUUGUAAAGCACUUUCGACGGGGACGAUGAUGACGGUACCCGUAGAAGAAGCCCCGGCUAACUUCGUGCCAGCAGCCGCGGUAAUACGAAGGGGGCUAGCGUUGCUCGGAAUGACUGGGCGUAAAGGGCGUGUAGGCGGUUUACACAGUCAGAUGUGAAAUCCCCGGGCUUAACCUGGGAGCUGCAUUUGAUACGUGUAGACUAGAGUGUGAGAGAGGGUUGUGGAAUUCCCAGUGUAGAGGUGAAAUUCGUAGAUAUUGGGAAGAACACCGGUGGCGAAGGCGGCAACCUGGCUCAUGACUGACGCUGAGGCGCGAAAGCGUGGGGAGCAAACAGGAUUAGAUACCCUGGUAGUCCACGCUGUAGACGAUGUGUGCUAGAUGUUGGGUAACUUUGUUAUUCAGUGUCGCAGUUAACGCGUUAAGCACACCGCCUGGGAGUACGACCGCAAGGUUGAAAC
rnacentral:rRNA from 1 species